rnacentral:rRNA from 1 species
UCUUGAUGGUAGUGUAUUGGACUACCAUGAGGAUUACGGGUACGAGGAAUUAGGGUUUGAUAUCGGAGAGGGAGCCUGAGAAACGGCUACCACUUCUAAGGAAGGCAGCAGGCGCGUAAAUUACCCAAUCCCAACUCGGGGAGGUAGUGACAAGAAAUAAUAACUCGGAUAGUUCUACUAUUACGAGAUUAAAAUGAGAACAAUUUAAAAAUCUUAACGAGGAACAAAAUGAGGGCAAGUCUGGUGCCAGCAGCCGCGGUAAUUCCAGCUCAUUUAGUGUAUAUUAAAGUUGUUGCAGUUAAAAAGCUCGUAGUCGAUCAUCUAGUGCUUGCCGUCGUGGCUUCGGUCAUUGCGCGCGGGUGCUAUCUGCUCGAGAACUUCAUCUAACUUCACUGUUCGAUGUUGCUGAUCGGGCACUUUCCUGAGAAAAAAUUAGAGUGUUCAAAGCAGGCUAAUGCCUUGAAUAUUACAGCUUGGAAUAAUAGAAUAAGACUGAAGUCUCUUUUGUUGGUUAUGAACUUUAGUAAUGGUUAAUAGAAACAGGCGGGGGCAUUAGUAUUUAAUUGUCAGAGGUGAAAUUCUAUGAUUUAUUAAAGACUAACUUAUGCGAAAGCAUUUGCCAAGGAUGUUUUCAAUUGAUCAAGAACGAAAGUUAGGGGAUCAAAGACGAUCAGAUACCGUCU